UGCCUUCAAGUGUUGCCCGUUCAUUCCGCCUGUAAUGAAUGUGGUGUCAGCGAAGGCAUACAGUGACUCUUGUGGUGGCCGUAAGGAGGCAGUGACGGUGGCCUUUAUUCUGGCCCACGACAAGCACAAUA